rnacentral:rRNA from 1 species
GACGAACGCUGGUGGCGUGCUUAACACAUGCAAGUCGAACGGGAUUUAGUAAACAGAAGCCUCGGCGGAAGAUUACUAAUGAGAGUGGCGAACGGGUGAGUAACGCGUGAGCAACCUGCCUAUGACAGUGGGAUAGCCUCGGGAAACCGGGAUUAAUACCGCAUAAAAUCGUAGAAACACAUGUUUUAACGGUCAAAGAUUUAUCGGUCAUAGAUGGGCUCGCGUCUGAUUAGCUAGUUGGUGAGAUAACAGCCCACCAAGGCGACGAUCAGUAGCCGGUCUGAGAGGAUGAACGGCCACAUUGGAACUGAGACACGGUCCAAACUCCUACGGGAGGCAGCAGUGGGGAAUAUUGCACAAUGGGGGAAACCCUGAUGCAGCGACGCCGCGUGAACGAAGAAGGUAUUCGUAUCGUAAAGUUCUGUCCUAUGGGAAGAUAAUGACAGUACCAUAGAAGAAAGCUCCGGCUAAAUACGUG